UGAAGCACUGGAACGCCACCUCCUAUU
rnacentral:piRNA from 1 species